GUAUUCCACAACUAAAUAAUUCGUAUAACCUCACGGAGUUACAGCUUGAACAGGGUGAGGGUUUCUACGGGAAGCCUUACUUCCCAACUACGAAUAUGAGAUCAAUCAUC
rnacentral:ncRNA from 2 species